rnacentral:rRNA from 1 species
UACGUAGGCAGCAAGCGUUGUUCGGAGUUACUGGGCGUAAAGAGCGCGCAGGCGGUCGUGCAAGUCGCGUGUGAAAGCCCCCGGCUCAACUGGGGAGGGUCACGCGAUACUGCUCGACUUGAAGGCAGGAGAGGGAAGUGGAAUUCCCGGUGUAGUGGUGAAAUGCGUAGAUAUCGGGAGGAACACCAGUGGCGAAGGCGACUUCCUGGCCUGUUCUUGACGCUGAGGCGCGAAAGCUAGGGUAGCAAACGGG